rnacentral:rRNA from 1 species
UACGGGGGGAGCAAGCGUUGUUCGGAAUUACUGGGCGUAAAGGGCUCGUAGGCGGCCAACUAAGUCGGACGUGAAAUCCCUCGGCUUAACCGGGGAACUGCGUCUGAUACUGGAUGGCUAGAGUUUGGGAGAGGGAUGCGGAAUUCCAGGUGUAGCGGUGAAAUGCGUAGAUAUCAGGAAGAACACCCGUGGCUAAGGCGGCUCUCUAGUACGGUACUGACGCUGAGACGCGAAAGCGUGGGGAGCGAACAGG